rnacentral:rRNA from 1 species
AGGACGAACGCUGGCGGCGUGCCUAACACAUGCAAGUCGAACGAGGUCCAACCGGUGGCAACACUGGUGAAGACCGAGUGGCGAACGGGUGAGUAACACGUGAGCAACCUGCCUCGAAGACUGGGAUAACCCCGGGAAAUCGGAGCUAAUACCGGAUACCCCCACCGGGUCGCAUGGCCUGGUGAGGAAAUGGAUUCCGCUUUGAGAGGGGCUCGCGGCCUAUCAGCUUGAUGGUGGGGUAAUGGCCUACCAUGGCACCGACGGGUAGCUGGCCUGAGAGGACGAUCAGCCACACUGGGACUGAGACACGGCCCAGACUCCUACGGGAGGCAGCAGUAGGGAAUCUUGCGCAAUGGGCAAAGCCUGACGCAGCAACGCCGCGUGGGGGAUGAAGGCCUUCGGGUUGUAAACUCCUUUCAGUGGGAACGAAUUGACGGUACCACAGAAGAAGCCCGGCUAACUACGUGCCAGCAGCCGC